CGCAACGACGCUACAAAGUGUUCCAAAUGACGUGGAUAAAGCUGGGUUAGGUAGUUUAGAAGAAACAAAAGAUUUUGUGGAGAGACUGUAGGGGUGAUCUAGAUCUGAUUAAAUUUUGAGACUGAUCCCCUUGAAACUAAAGCAACGCUGCUUAGUGGCAGCAAAGAGAAGGAUGAAAGCAGAUGGCAUUUGACCUUGUGAAUGUGAGAGACUGCCCCAAAAUGAAGCAGCAGCGCUGUGUGGCAGGAAAGGAAGGAAACAGCAGAUGUAAAACACAUGGGUCUUUUUCAGGCACUUUGCAGAGGUGACAAACUGGAAGUGAUCAAAUUAUGAGACAAACCACAUUAAGAUUAAAGCAGUGCUGCUUUAUGACAGCAAAGAGAAAGAUCAACCAAUGAGGCUUAACCUUGUGAAUAGAAUAACUAUUAAAGUUAUUACUCCAUUUAUUCUGAUCUUUGAUGGAUCUUGGUACCACUUCACAAAAACAUAUGGAUGAAAAUCUACACCUGAAAAUCUUCCCCCCAAAUCCGCCCAAAUUUGGAACUGCAUGACAGAGGGCAGCCGAAAACAGAGCCUGCAGCCGUCAUCUUGUAAACUGCCAUAUAAACAUUCUGUGGAUCUUUGUGCAAAUGUUCCAGGGACAUUGUACAGCUCAGUAAUUCUGAAAUUGUGGGGAACAAGAUGAUUUUCUGAUUAUUCAUUAAUACAGUCUAUAUAUAUUUUUUGUUUCUGGCCAGUCUGCAGAUUUUAUUGGUGGGAGACUGGUAGCCAGUUGGCAAAAUUUGUUGUGGGUGAAUUGAAUUGUGUCACGUAUUUUUGGAGAGUUGGUGAGAAUGUGUAAGGUAGGCUUGUAAUAAUAAUGUUUUUAGCCAAUGUGGCACCCUAGGUGAGCAUCACCGCUGGCUCCUCCCGUCUGGGGCAAAGUGAAAUUCACAAGUCGGCUUCCCCUCAGACGUUGGUGUCCUAGGCGGCCGCCAUUGUCACCUAUAGAUUGAGCAGCCCUGUUUAUUUUGUUAUACAACAGUAUAUGUAUUGUAGGCGAACAUCUUACCCAGCUAAAUGUACCUGUAGGGGAAUUUAAUCAUAUCACUUAGCCGUAGUACAUGUCAGUGGUGACAGAUAGACACAGAUGUGCUGAAUCUACUUGCAUCAAACCAGGUUACUCCAAGGGCACCAGAUAAAUAGCACCCCACCCCAGCAAAUUUUACUGUCGUGUGUAUCAGACAGGAAGGGGUUGGCCUACCUUAUUUCUUAGAAUCAGAAGUGGCAACCUUAGUGAGAUUUGAUAGCUUGAUUAAUGAAGGAAUGUGUCUACAGUUAGCCAGACACAAUGACAUGGUAAGAAAAAUCUAUGAAAUUCUGAAAAGGCUGAUUAAUGUGACUUCAUUAUUGGGUAGCUGGCAUUUAGGGGACCUAAUGAAAGUGAAAACUCAGACAGCAAAGGAAACUAUGGAUGUACAUUCCUGCUAUGACGGUGAUGAUGAUGAUGAAAACCCUUUAUUGCUGUUGCAAUAUACCAUGUCACUAGUCACAAGUACCAGCGAAAAAACUGGCCA